rnacentral:rRNA from 1 species
CAUAGUGGCGCACGGGUGCGUAACACGUAUGCAACCUACCUUAUACUUAGGGAUAGCCUUUGGAAACGGAGAUUAAUACCUAAUGGUAUAUUUAGCUGGCAUCGGUUAGAUAUUAAAGAUUUAUUGGUAUAAGAUGGGCAUGCGUCCAAUUAGUUAGUUGGUGAGGUAAUGGCUCACCAAGACGAUGAUUGGUAGGGGAACUGAGAGGUUAAUCCCCCACACUGGCACUGAGAUACGGGCCAGACUCCUACGGGAGGCAGCAGUAGGGAAUAUUGGGCAAUGGAGGGAACUCUGACCCAGCCAUGCCGCGUGCAGGAUGAAGGCGUUAUGCGUUGUAAACUGCUUUUAUAUAGGAAGAAACAGACCUUGCGAGGUAGAUUGACGGUACUAUAUGAAUAAGCACCGGCUAACUCCGUGCCAGCAGCCGCGGUAAUACGGAGGGUGCAAGCGUUGUCCGGAUUUAUUGGGUUUAAAGGGUGCGUAGGCGGUUUAUUAAGUCAGUGGUGAAAGACGGUCGCUCAACGAUUGCAGUGCCAUUGAUACUGGUAGACUUGAGUGUGAUUGAGGUAGCUGGAAUGGAUAGUGUAGCGGUGAAAUGCAUAGAUAUUAUCCAGAACACCAAUUGCGAAGGCAGGUUACUAAGUCACAACUGACGCUGAUGCACGAAAGUGUGGGUAUCAAACAGGAUUAGAUACCCUGGUAGUCCACACUGUAAACGAUGAUAACUAACUGUUGGCUUUCGGGUCAGUGGUACAGAGAAAUCGUUAAGUUAUCCACCUGGGGAGUACG